rnacentral:lncRNA from 1 species
UUCAAUACAGUUGCCCGAAGUAGAAUCUGCAGCUAUGGUAACAGGUAACGUCCUUCCUCAGUUGAAAGACAAGUUGGUGGCUCAUGAAUAUGGUGAUCUUAGACAAUUAGCCUCUAAAGCUAACUGAAUAGAGUAAUUUAUGCAUAAGAAAGAAUUGAAGAGAGCCAACGGAGACAUGGAUCUCAUUUAAUCUCUCUAGU